AUUGAACGCUGGCGGCAUGCCUUACACAUGCAAGUCGAACGGUAACAGGUCUUCGGAUGCUGACGAGUGGCGAACGGGUGAGUAAUACAUCGGAACGUGCCCGAUCGUGGGGGAUAACGAGGCGAAAGCUUUGCUAAUACCGCAUACGAUCUACGGAUGAAAGCGGGGGAUCUUCGGACCUCGCGCGGACGGAGCGGCCGAUGGCAGAUUAGGUAGUUGGUGGGAUAAAAGCUUACCAAGCCGACGAUCUGUAGCUGGUCUGAGAGGAUGAUCAGCCACACUGGGACUGAGACACGGCCCAGACUCCUACGGGAGGCAGCAGUGGGGAAUUUUGGACAAUGGGCGAAAGCCUGAUCCAGCCAUGCCGCGUGCAGGAUGAAGGCCUUCGGGUUGUAACUGCUUUUGUACGGAACGAAAAGCCUCUUUCUAAUAAAGAGGGGUCAUGACGGUACCGUAAGAAUAAGCACCGGCUAACUACGUG
rnacentral:rRNA from 1 species